UACGGGGGGUGCAAGCGUUACUCGGAAUCACUGGGCGUAAAGAGCGUGUAGGCGGAUUGGUACGUUGGAUGUGAAAGCCUAUGGCUCAACCAUAGAAUUGCUUCCAAAACUGCUAGUCUAGAGUGUGGGAGAGGUAGAUGGAAUUUCUGGUGUAGGGGUAAAAUCCGUAGAGAUCAGAAGGAAUACCGAUUGCGAAGGCGAUCUACUGGAACAUAACUGACGCUGAGACGCGAAAGCGUGGGGAGCAAACAGGAUUAGAUACCCUGGUAGUCCACGCCCUAAACGAUGUACACUAGUUGUUGUGAGGCUUGACCUUGCAGUAAUGCAGUUAACACAUUAAGUGUACCGCCUGGGGAGUACGGUCGCAAGAUUAAA
rnacentral:rRNA from 1 species